rnacentral:rRNA from 1 species
CCCAAACCCCUGUGAACAUACCACUUGUUGCCUCGGCGGAUCAGCCCGCUCCCGGUAAAACGGGACGGCCCGCCAGAGGACCCCUAAACUCUGUUUCUAUAUGUAACUUCUGAGUAAAACCAUAAAUAAAUCAAAACUUUCAACAACGGAUCUCUUGGUUCUGGCAUCGAUGAAGAACGCAGCAAAAUGCGAUAAGUAAUGUGAAUUGCAGAAUUCAGUGAAUCAUCGAAUCUUUGAACGCACAUUGCGCCCGCCAGUAUUCUGGCGGGCAUGCCUGUUCGAGCGUCAUUUCAACCCUCAAGCACAGCUUGGUGUUGGGACUCGCGUUAAUUCGCGUUCCCCAAAUUGAUUGGCGGUCACGUCGAGCUUCCAUAGCGUAGUAGUAAAACCCUCGUUACUGGUAAUCGUCGCGGCCACGCCGUUAAACCCCAACUUCUGAAUGUUGACCUCGGAUCAGGUAGGAAUACCCGCUGAACUUAAGCAUAU